GGAUCCAGACUUUGAUCCUGGCUCAGGAUGAACGCUAGCUACAGGCUUAACACAUGCAAGUCGAGGGGAAACGACAUCGAAAGCUUGCUUUUGAUGGGCGUCGACCGGCGCACGGGUGAGUAACGCGUAUCCAACCUGCCCACCACUUGGGGAUAACCUUGCGAAAGUAAGACUAAUACCCAAUGAUAUCUCUAGAAGACAUCUGAAAGAGAUUAAAGAUUUAUCGGUGAUGGAUGGGGAUGCGUCUGAUUAGCUUGUUGGCGGGGUAACGGCCCACCAAGGCAACGAUCAGUAGGGGUUCUGAGAGGAAGGUCCCCCACAUUGGAACUGAGACACGGUCCAAACUCCUACGGGAGGCAGCAGUGAGGAAUAUUGGUCAAUGGACGAGAGUCUGAACCAGCCAAGUAGCGUGCAGGAUGACGGCCCUAUGGGUUGUAAACUGCUUUUAUAAGGGAAUAAAGUGAGUCUCGUGAGACUUUUUGCAUGUACCUUAUGAAUAAGGACCGGCUAAUUCCGUGCCAGCAGCCGCGGUAAUACGGAAGGUCCGGGCGUUAUCCGGAUUUAUUGGGUUUAAAGGGAGCGUAGGCCGGAGAUUAAGCGUGUUGUGAAAUGUAGACGCUCAACGUCUGCACUGCAGCGCGAACUGGUUUCCUUGAGUACGCACAAAGUGGGCGGAAUUCGUGGUGUAGCGGUGAAAUGCUUAGAUAUCACGAAGAACUCCGAUUGCGAAGGCAGCUCACUGGGAGCGCAACUGACGCUGAAGCUCGAAAGUGCGGGUAUCGAACAGGAUUAGAUACCCUGGUAGUCCGCACGGUAAACGAUGGAUGCCCGCUGUUGGUCUGAAUAGGUCAGCGGCCAAGCGAAAGCAUUAAGCAUCCCACCUGGGGAGUACGCCGGCAACGAUGAAACUCAAAUGAAUUGACGG
rnacentral:rRNA from 1 species